rnacentral:lncRNA from 1 species
AUUGGUGUAUUAAUUAUCAUGUUUAAGAUUACUACAUUUAUUUGACGUCAAUAGAUGUUGUGGUUAGGUAGUUGCGUAAUUAUUGAAAAAUAGUUGCACAUAAUGGACCGAAAUAAUUAAUACCAUAGGUUUGUAUGGUUUCGACUAUACGCGUUUAGGUAUCCAGACAUGUAUACCUACCCUAUGUGACCCGUUGAGUUAUUUUCACAAAAAUUGAAUGCAG